AAAAAGAUAACCCACCAAACCCCAUUCAGCAUGAGGGAGUUGGCCAUUCUGGGCCCACAAGCCAUAGAAAUUACAUUUUGGAAACAUUAUAAACAUGGGUGUUGGGAAAUGUGUCCGCAUCUGGAGAGAAUUUACUUUUUCUUCUUUCGCCCCACCUGAAGUGGAUGGUCACUGGCGAAGUAACCUUCGAGGGCCCUGACCAGUGGGCUCUUCUUCCUGGGUAGGGGAGGGGCCAGGUGUUGGUGGCUCCCUGCCACUGUGGGAAAGAAGGGCAGCGAUGUUCUGUAGACUUUGUCCAACUGUGUUUGCAAAUUGUUGAACAGAGGAGGUGAGCUCCGAUAGACCUUGCCUGAUUUCACCCACACCUUGCUGAACACAGGUGGUAUACUCAGUGAGCCGAAGGGACAUCUCGCAUAUUUCCCGGGUCAUCACAUCAUGGAAUUGGGUUAGCCGAUCUCCAUGACUAGAGAUUUCCGUAAGAAUCGCCGGGAGAGAGGUUUGGGUGGGGGGCCAGUGUGUGGCUGGCCUUGUGGAAUAACCGGCCCCAGGUCCGGCUCUACCAUUAGGCAGCUUUAGGCAGCUGCCUAAGGUGUCGGGAUCUGUGGGGGUGCCACUGAGUCUGCCUAUCACAAAAUUAAGGAGGUCUCUGAAAGAAACAUCCUUGUUGUACUUAAUGCAAGUGGUGGUUGUUGAACUUAUAAGUCACACUUUCAUGUGAGGGGUUAGGAAGUGAGUUUUGGUGGUUGUUAAGGGCAGUAGGCUGAAGUUUUGCCUAGGGUGUAGAGAAACCUUGCACCAGCCCUGACCGGCCCCACACUGGAGGUCUCACUACUUCCCCCUGCCUCAGCCUCUGCAAGAUGCCCCUCUUGUGACUCACCAAGCUGCCCCUCCUGUGCUGUAUUAUGGGAAAAACAGAUAUAUUAAUGUGAUACAAAAGGUGACAAAAAUAACAUAACAAAAUUAGUAUCAACUUGUAAACUGAGACAUAAAACACUUGACUAUAUAUGUAAGACAACUUACCAGGCAAGUCAUGUGGGCCGAACAUCUCAGGCAUGUCUGUGUCUAUAUCGGACAUCCCACACACCUCCUCAUAGCUCACACAGGGCAUCGCUAGCUCCUCUAGAUCGGUAAACUCCACAGUGGCAGGGGGUGGGCCUCCCCCUGUUGCCCUCGAUGCAUUCCACUCCACAGACCUUUUCUGCUUCAGGCGGGACUUGAAGUCGGCCCAACUACAUAUGUGGUUUGGUUUGGGGGAAAGGUGAAGAAAAGAAAUAACAAUAAAUGUUUUGCUUACUUUUUGUACACGUCAUGGUUUAGGUUGCUAUUGGCAACAUCACAUUUUUUCUUGGAUGGUAUAAAAAUAGUGUAUGCAGUUGUGUGUCAGUAUGUACUUACCAUCUUCGGAACUUCCGCUGGGGUUAGGACAAUUGGGCCAACUUCAUUUAUGCUGUCAGUAAUGUCUCUCAGAUGCGGUCUUUAGCCGCAGCACCCAUGUUUUUACUCCCAUAUAUUUUCUGCAUGGCUUGUGGGACCAAAAUUGCCAACUCCCUCUUCGUAAAUGGGGGCUGCCACCUUCUCUUUUUGCUAGGUGCCUGUGAUGCAUGUUCCUGCAAAUUGUCACCACCUUCCUCUUCACUUUGGCCCUGGCUUUGUUGGGUUUGAGUAGUGAGCCCAGAAUCUCCCUCAGUUUGAUUUUCAUCUUCCUCUGGCAGGGCCUCUUCUGUUUGUAGCUCAGUAGAUGGGGGUACUGGAGUACUGGGUCCUGCCCCUUCAUCCUCUGCACUGGCAGGUGUUGGAUGGAGGCGUUGCUGCUGCAACCUCUGUCUCCUCGCUACCAUGUCCCGAAUCUGCUUGUGCAGCUCUGCCACCUCAGCAUCUAUUUCACUGAUAGUAGCCAUAUUGGUGAUGGCAUGUGCGUCUGAAUGUGUGUAGGGUUUUUAUACCUGCGUAUGUAUAUAUUUGUGUGGGAAAUUGCACAGGUGAUGCACACACAAUGUUUAGGCGUACUUUGAUGACUGGCUAUUUAAACGGCCUCCAUGCGGCCUGUGUUUGUGGGUGUAUGCAGGAGUUCAGUGUUGUGUCGAUUUUUGCCGUGGAGUGUAGUGGAGAGAGGAGCCGAGUACUACAGUUGUGAAGGCGUGAGAGGUAAGAGUUAUUUAAGUUAUUUCUGCUAACAGGAUUAUCCGCUAUGGAUGCAGCAAAAUAUUGUAGUGCGUACGGCUACUCCCUGCGUUUAAAAUAUAUAUAUAUAUAUAUAUAUAUAUAUAUAUAUAAUUUUUUUUUUUUUCAUUUAUGUUGCUUUAUUAUGUUGGGUAACAUUUUUUACAAAGAUAGCAAGGAAAUUUAUGUUCUGAGAAGCUGUUGUGGUGGGGUUGUCAUUCAUUCGAAUUUAAUUUGUGUUCCUUUAUUCUAAUGUUCUCCACAGUAUUUAGAUAAUUGCUGGUAAGUAUUUUCAUGUUGCUUGCUGUGGUUUGGGUGGAGGUGGUUAGUGAUUUCUGGGUGGUUUUACAGUAUUCUCUGAUUCUGUUUACUCUUCUGUAGGGUGCAUUUUUGUGUUUAUUUAACCUUCUGCCAAGUGUGGCAUAUUUUUGGCUAAUUAGAGUCCUUUUUUCUAAUUGCUGGUAAGUAUUUUCAUGUUGCUUGCUGUGAUUUGGGUGGAGGUGGUUAGUGAUUUUACACUAUACUAUGAUUAUGGUUGUCCUUUUGUAGGGUAUUUUUGUUGGACUGUAGAAUCCCUGCCAGGUUUGGCAUCAUAUCAUUUGUUUAAAGGUCUUUUUUCGUGUUGCUGGUAAGUAUGUUCAUGUUGCUUGGUGUGUUUGGGGUGUUUGCCUUUUGACUUUUAUGUAUGUAUCUUUGUGUGUUAACUUUAGGUUUAAGGUAAGUAAAAGCCUGCUUAGUGUAUUUUCAGUGUUUGGGGUGUGUGGUGUAUUUGUGCCAUAUGUAGUGUUUCCUCUAUCAGCCUAAUUUUUGUUUUUUCUUGCCUCCUGGUGUCUGACAUAUAGAUAUGGAGUACGUGCUGGAAGUAAGUUUAUUUUGUGUAGGAGCCAGAAAUGGGAAUGUUUAAAUGUUGUGAACACACUGGAUGUUGUCUUGAUGUUUUUGUUGUUUUAAAGAUGCUGAUUGCCACAUAUCUAGCCUCCGAAGCCGCCCAAUCCCAAGCUGCCCCUCAUCCUCAAAGGCAAUGGAGGCGUGCAAGGCAUAGUAUUUUCCGUACCCGUGUCACCCUUUUUGGUAUGCCAGAUGAUGAGGUUGUGCUGCACUACAGGCUGCCCCCUCAUAUCAUCCUAGAAACUCUCUCCAUAACAGAGAGUGAUCUAGAUCAAUCAAUUCGGUAUCCUACUGCAAUACCAGCAUUGACACAAUUCCUUGCUGUGUUACAUUUCUAUGCCACGGGUUCCUACCAGCACGUAGUUGGCGUGCUGGUAGAAAUGUCGCAGGGCAAGUUUUCAAAGGUCCUGCGUUGUGUCCUAGAUGCAUUUUUAAAGUGAGCAAAGCAGUUCAUAUCAAAGCUGGGGCCCUGGCUGUGGUGCAGCGGCAAUUCCAGGAAGGGGGUAGUCGCUUCCCACACGUUAUUGGGGUUGUGGAUGGGACACAUGUUUCACUCGUGGCUUCAAAACAUAAUGAGGAAAUCUAUAGGAACAGGAAACUGUUCCACUCUCUGAAUGUGAUGGUUGUUUGUGGCCCAUCCCUCCAGAUCCUGUCCCUGAAUUCAAAGUACCCCGGGAGUGCCCAUGAUGCCCAUGUCAUUCGGCAAUCAGGGAUCUGGCAAAGAUUAAGAAUGAUGGAAGGCCAAGAUAUGUGGCUAUUGGGAGAUCGUGGAUAUCCUUGAACCCCCUGGCUCAUGACUCCUUACAGCACACCCAGGCCAGGGUCACAGACAAAUUUAAUUCCAUGCUUAUUGCCACUAGGCAGCUGGUGGAGCACAACUUUGGCGUACUGAAAGGAUGCUUCCGUGUGCUCCACGGCACUGGUGGCGACCUCAUGUAUUCACCGGAAAUGGCCAAUUACAACGCCAAAGGCCACAGGAGGAAGAUGGAGCCUCCCCCCCAGCAAGCCGAGACACCUCAAACAUCCUCUUCAUCUUCCUCCUCCUCCCCCUCUCAAACCACCUUCUCCCCUCAACAACCCACCACACAUCACACCUACUCCUCUUCCCCCCCUCUCAACCGCCCUCUCACUCUUCCCCCCUCUCAACCCCACUCUCACUCUUCCCCCCUCUCAACCCCCCUCCCCCUCUCACUCUUA